rnacentral:lncRNA from 1 species
GGGGGCUACGAUGCACUAGAACAAACGGCUCGCAUCAAAAUGUGCGCAAAGAAGAGAGGAAGAAGAAAUUGAAGGGUUCGGGCUGUAUAGCUCACCGAGGUGACGACGGCGAGCGAAAAACGGCCGGCGACCAAAGCAAUUCCGCCGAGAUAUUCUCCGGCGUGGGCACGAGUGGAGUGAGGGGGGUGCGGGGGAAAAGUGAGAGGGGGAGGGGCUCUUUAUACUGACGCGAGAGAGAGUCUUAAACACGCGCCCUAAAUUGCGAAUUGAAGACGAGGCUUAAUGGAGGUGCUCCCUGGAUUCUCGGCCAGAGCUUGAAGACGACCUGACAGGUGGGUCCCACCUGUCAGUGUUCGUUGGCUGCGGGCGGCGGCUGGCUGGGCUGGCUCGCGGGCGCGCGCGAGGAUUGAUUGGGCCGAUUCGGCCCUAGUUGGCCCGGCGGUCCGUUUUCCUUUUUUUUUGUUCUUUUCUUUUUUCUGUUUUUUCUUUAUAACUUUUGAUUUUGAACUCCAAAUGCACUCAAAUAAAUUCCAGAAAAUUUGUAAAAUCAUAUCUUUUAAUGCCAUAGCAUCUGGGACUUGAUUUCUUCCAAAAGUAAAUUAUUAAAAAUAGUUUUGCUCAUAUAAUUGCCUCUAGUGCAAUAAUAUUAGAAACAAAAUAGUUUUUCAACUCCAAAAUAAAUUCCAAAAAUUAUGGGGUAGCUCAUCUUAUGGAUUAAAACCCCUUUCUAUUGUUUUCAAAAAUUCCAAAAUUAAAAGGGCAACAGGCUUGAUAAAAGGUUUUAAAAUUUAAAACUUUGGUUUAAAGGUGCUCAAAGUGCAUAAAUGGUAUGAUGCUCAUGAGUGCAAAUGCAUGAUGCAAAGUUUGGGAAAAUUGGAAUGUUAUAGACCUAACCCUCUUAAGAUGAAUCUCGUCCCCGAAAUUCUGAUUGGCUAGCA